UACAGAGGGUGCGAGCGUUAAUCGGAAUUACUGGGCGUAAAGCGCGCGUAGACGGUUUGGUAAGUCAGAUGUGAAAUCCCCGGGCUCAACCUGGGAACUGCAUUUGAUACUGCCUGGCUAGAGUAUCGAAGAGGGAAGUGGAAUUUCCGGUGUAGCGGUGAAAUGCGCAGAUAUCGGGAGGAACACCGGUGGCGAAGGCGGUUCUCUGGGCCUGACCUGACGCUGAGGAGCGAAAGCGUGGGGAGCGAACAGG
rnacentral:rRNA from 1 species